UACUUAAGUAAAUCAGGACCAGACAAAGUGACUUCAUCAGAGUUAUGUUGAGUUCGCUACCUCAAAGUUUGACCCAUUAUAGCUGAAUUUGCUUGCAAAAUUCUCAGUAGCAUUUAUGUAAAGCUCAGUCCACGACUCAAGGUUAUACCUUUAUAAUUAAAACAAUAAUUAUUUGCAUCUUUCAGGAGCAGAGUCAUACUAAAGCAGGAAAGGAGAAAGCAAAAGGAAUUCUUUGAGAAGAAAAAACUCAAAUCAAAGAUGAAGCUUCUGGGAGUAUCAUCUCCUAAAAGUUCAGCAGUCAGCUUAGAUCUCCUCAAUCUGUAUGUUGUUAACCAGAUAUCGACCAAAAAAGACAGCACUGGCAACCUGAAAAAGCCAGUCCAUGUUGAUAUAACUGAAAAUGUAAAGGCACCUUUUAGAAGGAACAACCUAGAGCUUCCCAGGUCACCAUUACGAAACCAAUUUACAGCACACUUAGAUG